CUGCGAUAGUUACCCCGUUACUCACCCUGUCACAGUCACCAGCUGAAGACAUCAUAUACACAGUCAUGAAACAUAGCUUUGCCAUAAACACAAUACACAAAGGCUACAGGCAGCUCCCCUACCCCCCAUAAACACAACAAAGAGACAUAAAGGUACACCCAAGAAUACUCUGUCACACACACCCUCUCAUUCACAUAAUGCCAGACACACUCAGAAAUACACACAGCCAGAUAUAC